UAGGGAAUCUUCUGCAAUGGACGAAAGUCUGACCGAGCAACGCCGCGUGAGUGAAGAAGGUUUUCGGAUCGUAAAACUCUGUUGUUAGAGAAGAACAAGGACGUUAGUAACUGAACGUCCCCUGACGGUAUCUAACCAGAAAGCCACGGCUAACUACGUGCCAGCAGCCGCGGUAAUACGUAGGUGGCAAGCGUUGUCCGGUUUUAUUGGGCGUAAAGCGAGCGCAGGCGGUUUCUUAAGUCUGAUGUGAAAGCCCCCGGCUCAACCGGGGAGGGUCAUUGUAAACUGGGAGACUUGAGUGCAGAAGAGGAGAGUGGAAUUCCAUGUGGAGCGAUGAAAUGCGUAGAUAUAUGGAAGAACACCAGUGGCGAAAGCGGCUCUCUGGUCUGUAACUGACGCUGAGGCUCGAAAGCGUGGGGAGCAAACAGG
rnacentral:rRNA from 1 species